UGGGGAAUAUUGCACAAUGGGCGCAAGCCUGAUGCAGCCAUGCCGCGUGUAUGAAGAAGGCCUUCGGGUUGUAAAGUACUUUCAGCGGAGAGGAAGGGAGUAAAGUUAAUACCUUUGCUCAUUGACGUUACCCGCAGAAGAAGCACCGGCUAACUCCGUGCCAGCAGCCGCGGUAAUACGGAGGGUGCAAGCGUUAAUCGGAAUUACUGGGCGUAAAGCGCACGCAGGCGGUUUGUUAAGUCAGAUGUGAAAUCCCCGGGCUCAACCUGGGAACUGCAUCUGAUACUGGCAAGCUUGAGUCUCGUAGAGGGGGGUAGAAUUCCAGGUGUAGCGGUGAAAUGCGUAGAGAUCUGGAGGAAUACCGGUGGCGAAGGCGGCCCCCUGGACGAAGACUGACGCUCAGGUGCGAAAGCGUGGGGAGCAAACA
rnacentral:rRNA from 1 species